GGGGUUGUAGCUCAGUGGUAGAGUGCUUGCCUAGCAUGUAUGAGGCACUGGGUUUGAUUCUCAGCACCA
rnacentral:tRNA from 1 species